rnacentral:rRNA from 1 species
GCGUGUGACUGCGUACCUUUUGUAUAAUGGGUCAGCGACUUAUAUUCUGUAGCAAGGUUAACCGAAUAGGGGAGCCGAAGGGAAACCGAGUCUUAACUGGGCGUUAAGUUGCAGGGUAUAGACCCGAAACCCGGUGAUCUAGCCAUGGGCAGGUUGAAGGUUGGGUAACACUAACUGGAGGACCGAACCGACUAAUGUUGAAAAAUUAGCGGAUGACUUGUGGCUGGGGGUGAAAGGCCAAUCAAACCGGGAGAUAGCUGGUUCUCCCCGAAAGCUAUUUAGGUAGCGCCUCGUGAAUUCAUCUCCGGGGGUAGAGCACUGUUUCGGCAAGGGGGUCAUCCCGACUUACCAACCCGAUGCAAACUGCGAAUACCGGAGAAUGUUAUCACGGGAGACACACGGCGGGUGCUAACGUCCGUCGUGAAGAGGGAAACAACCCAGACCGCCAGCUAAGGUCCCAAAGUCAUGGUUAAGUGGGAAACGAUGUGGGAAGGCCCAGACAGCCAGGAUGUUGGCUUAGAAGCAGCCAUCAUUUAAAGAAAGCGUAAUAGCUCACUGGUCGAGUCGGCCUGCGCGGAAGAUGUAACGGGGCUAAACCAUGCACCGAAGCUGCGGCAGCGACGCUUAUGCGUUGUUGGGUAGGGGAGCGUUCUGUAAGCCUGUGAAGGUGUACUGUGAGGUAUGCUGGAGGUAUCAGAAGUGCGAAUGCUGACAUAAGUAACGAUAAAGCGGGUGAAAAGCCCGCUCGCCGGAAGACCAAGGGUUCCUGUCCAACGUUAAUCGGGGCAGGGUGAGUCGACCCCUAAGGCGAGGCCGAAAGGCGUAGUCGAUGGGAAACAGGUUAAUAUUCCUGUACUUGGUGUUACUGCGAAGGGGGGACGGAGAAGGCUAUGUUGGCCGGGCGACGGUUGUCCCGGUUUAAGCGUGUAGGCUGGUUUUCCAGGCAAAUCCGGAAAAUCAAGGCUGAGGCGUGAUGACGAGGCACUACGGUGCUGAAGCAACAAAUGCCCUGCUUCCAGGAAAAGCCUCUAAGCAUCAGGUAACAUCAAAUCGUACCCCAAACCGACACAGGUGGUCAGGUAGAGAAUACCAAGGCGCUUGAGAGAACUCGGGUGAAGGAACUAGGCAAAAUGGUGCCGUAACUUCGGGAGAAGG